UAGGGAAUCUUCCGCAAUGGACGCAAGUCUGACGGAGCAACGCCGCGUGAGUGAAGAAGGAUUUCGGUUCGUAAAACUCUGCUGUUAGAGAAGAACAGCGCAUAGAGUAACUGUUAUGCGUGUGACGGUAUCUAACCAGAAAGCCACGGCUAACUACGUGCCAGCAGCCGCGGUAAUACGUAGGUGGCAAGCGUUGUCCGGAUUUAUUGGGCGUAAAGCGAGCGCAGGCGGUCAAUUAAGUCUGAUGUGAAAGCCCCCGGCUCAACCGGGGAGGGUUAUUGGAAACUGGUUGACUUGAGUGCAGAAGAGGAGGGUGGAAUUCCAUGUGUAGCGGUGAAAUGCGUAGAUAUAUGGAGGAACACCAGUGGCGAAGGCGACUCUCGGGUCUGUAACUGACGCUGAGGCUCGAAAGCGUGGGUAGCAAACAGG
rnacentral:rRNA from 1 species